GAUGAACGCUGGCGGCGUGCCUAAUACAUGCAAGUCGAGCGAACAGACGAGGAGCUUGCUCCUCUGACGUUAGCGGCGGACGGGUGAGUAACACGUGGAUAACCUACCUAUAAGACUGGGAUAACUUCGGGAAACCGGAGCUAAUACCGGAUAAUAUAUUGAACCGCAUGGUUCAAUAGUGAAAGACGGUUUUGCUGUCACUUAUAGAUGGAUCCGCGCCGCAUUAGCUAGUUGGUAAGUUAACGGCUUACCAAGGCGACGAUGCGUAGCCGACCUGAGAGGGUGAUAGGCCAAACUGGAACUGAGACACGGUCCAGACUCCUACGGGAGGCAGCAGUAGGGAAUCUUCCGCAAUGGGCGAAAGCCUGACGGAGCAACGCCGCGUGAGUGAUGAAGGUCUUCGGAUCGUAAAACUCUGUUAUUAGGGAAGAACAAAUGUGUAAGUAACUAUGCACGUCUUGACGGUACCUAAUCAGAAAGCCACGGCUAACUACGUG
rnacentral:rRNA from 1 species